rnacentral:rRNA from 1 species
GCUAGUAAUGGCAGGUCAGAAUACUGCCGUGAAUACGUUCCCGGGCCUUGUACACACCGCCCGUCACACCAUGAGAGUUGGGAAUACCCGAAGCCUGUGAGCUAACCGUAAGGGAGCAGCAGUCGAAGGUAGAAUCAAUGAUUGGGGUGAAGUCGUAACAAGGUACC